rnacentral:rRNA from 1 species
GACGAACGCUGGCGGCGUGCUUAACACAUGCAAGUCGAACGAAGUGGCGAACGGGUGAGUAACGCGUAAUCAACCUGCCCUUCAGAGGGGGACAACAGUUGGAAACGACUGCUAAUACGCCAUACUGAAUGUGGGGAUUGCGUCUGAUUAGCUAGUUGGGGGGGUAACGGCCCACCAAGGCGAUGAUCAGUAGGCGGUCUGAGAGGGUGGACGGGCAACAUGGGACUGGGGAACGGGCCCGGCGUCUAAGGGGAGGAGGAGUUGGGAAACAUCCGCAAUGGGCGAAAAGCUUGCGGAAGAAAGGCCGGGGGGUGGUGGCGGGCUUUGGGUUGUAAAACUCUGUUAAUCGGGGCGCGUUACCGGAAUAGAAAGCAACGGCUAACUACGUGCCAGCAGCCGCGGUAAUUC